GAGCAAGAGAGCAGGAGAGCGAGGAGGGGGCAAGCAGCCAUGUUUAUAGUGAGUCAGGCACACCUGGCUGUUGCCAGGUAACCGUGGGGCGGAGCUUAGAUAGAAUGCUAACACUGGCUACAGGUAUGGACCAACAGUGAUGCAUUUGGAAAUACUGCUUAUUUAACUGUUCACAAAGCCGGAGUUGGGAUGCCUGCUAUUGCCUUCACCUCGCCAGGAGGAGCGUGCCUUUGUGUUUAGGCAUGCCUCUGGUUGAGGUCUGAAGGUCUAGAGGUGUGGGCAAUGCCUGACAUUAGAGGUCUGAAGAGGCAAUCUGAGAAGAACUGGAGGCUGCAACGGAGCUGCAUUAGAAGUGUCUGGCAACUUACUCCUCAAGAGAAAACGGUGGUUUACACAAGAAGAUAAAGGAUGUCUAGGACCUACCUUCUGAAUUUUACUGGCAGUAAAACCUUCCCUACGGAACAGUGUGCUUUGAGUCCCGCACCAUAUAACAUCUUCACUGCCCUUCUUCUUGUGGCCGCUUCUGCACAUCUCUCCAGAACAAAGAACCGCUAAGCAACCACCUGGCAAUGUUGUCAAUGGAAACAAAAUAUCCUGAUGUGUGCCUGACAGGCGCAGGCUGCACACAAAGCCCAGAUUAGCUGGAUAAUUGCCAUCUUUGUUUCCAACUUCCUCUCGGUUUCCUUUACAAAUUACAAUUGACAACUAGAACUUGACCAGAGAAGAAAAUCCAUAUGAUUGCUGAUUGGGUCCCUCGGGAAUAGGGGUAUACUUAUUUGUUAAGUGACUUCCAGAGGCUAUUUGCUGAGAGACAGGGGAUAAACUGGGACUUCUAAAUGGAGGUUAUUGACUCCCUCCUAGGCUCCAUCAGGAGGGCAUCAGUAUGAAAAGCCUCCAGUGGCUUGCGGUGUAGGAAUAGACUAGACAGUGGGUAGACAGGGAUGUCUCAUCAAAAUGAGAUGCAGGUAGUCCUGAAUUAUUCAGGUACCAUUUGUAUUCUACAAAUAGCUUAUCAUGGUAGGUAGACCUGAAAGUGGCAGAGCUAAUUAUUCUGAGGAUGAUUUAUUGAGAUUGAUUCGGGGGUAACAUCUGCCUUUUGCAGUUCUGUUUUCCCCAGACUGAAGUUGUUCUAACACAAUUGUGUUUUUCCCCCCCUCAGCAAUGUAUUUAUAUAGUAGAAAAGAUUCAAAAUUACUUUUGGGCACAGGGGCGUAGGGAGGGGUGGAGUGGGAUAUGCUUUUUAUUUUAAAACAUCC
rnacentral:lncRNA from 1 species